UGAGUAAGACUACCCGCCGAAUUUAAGCAUAUAAUUAAGCGGAGGAAAAGAAACUAACAAGGAUUCCUUUAGUAACGGCGAGUGAAACAGGAUGAGCUCACCUAUAAUCGGCAAUUUUUUGCCGAGUUGUGGUCUGUAGAAGCAUUGUCGGUCGAGGUUCCGGGCUAAGUCUCUUGGAAAAGAGCAGCUGAGAGGGUGACACUCCCGUUCUUGCCUGGGAUCUGCGAUCAUAGCACAUGCCUUCAACGAGUCGAGUUGCUUGGGAUUGCAGCUCAAAUGCGUGGUAUACUCCAUGUAAAGCUAAAUAUAGGUAGGAAACCGAUAGCGCACAAGUACUGUGAAGGAAAGAUGCAAAGAACUUUGAAAAGAGAGUUAAAGAGUACCUGAAACUGUUGAAAGGGAAGCAAAUGGAAACAGUGUGUUUCCGUACCAUUCUUCCUUCGUGGCUUGCCACGGGGGCGCUGUGGUGCGGGAGUGGUCAGCAUGGGUUUGACUCGGAGCAUAUAGCUAUUCAGGAGGCAUCUGUCUUUUCAGAGAUUACUGUUUAGUGUUGUUCUGGGUUGGAUCGAGGUUAGUAUUUCGUGAUGCUGACGAAAUGUUUCUAUUUACCCCGUCUUGUAACACGGACCAAGGAGUCUAACAUGUUCGCGAGUAUCUGAGUGGCAAACUCAUAUGCGCAAUGAAAGUAACAGUGGUAGGACCUUCUGGGGCACUAUCCGCCGGCAUUGAUCCUUCGGGAGAAAGGUCUGAGUGUGAGCAUACAUGUUGGGACCCGAAAGAUGGUGAACUAUGCCUGAAUAGGGUGAAGCCAGAGGAAACUCUGGUGGAGGCCCGCAGCGGUUCUGACGUGCAAAUCGAUCGUCAAAUAUGGGCAUGGGGGCGAAAGACUAAUCGAACCUUCUAGUAGCUGGUUUCCGCCGAAGUUUCCCUCAG
rnacentral:rRNA from 13 species